GACGAACGCUGGCGGCGUGCUUAACACAUGCAAGUCGAACGGUGAAGGGACCGGUUUUUGCUGGUUCUGGAUGAGUGGCGAACGGGUGAGUAACACGUGAGUAACCUGCCCCCUUCUUCUGGAUAACCGCAUGAAAGUGUGGCUAAUACGGGAUAUUCUGCGCCUGCUGCAUGGUGGGUGUGGGAAAGAUAUUGUUUCGGUGGGGGAUGGGCUCGCGGCCUAUCAGCUUGUUGGUGGGGUGAUGGCCUACCAAGGCGGUGACGGGUAGCCGGCCUGAGAGGGUGGACGGUCACACUGGGACUGAGACACGGCCCAGACUCCUACGGGAGGCAGCAGUGGGGAAUAUUGCACAAUGGGCGCAAGCCUGAUGCAGCGACGCCGCGUGAGGGAUGGAGGCCUUCGGGUUGUAAACCUCUUUCGCCAGUGAAGCAGGCCUGUCCCUUUUGUGGGUGGGUUGACGGUGGCUGGAUAAGAAGCGCCGGCUAACUACGUG
rnacentral:rRNA from 1 species